rnacentral:lncRNA from 1 species
AUGUUACUCAUCUCUUCUGUUUUGAUAUUUGUCUUCAGCUACUGUGAAUCUAAUGGGAAUGUCAUCAAACCAAACCAGCUAUCUGUAGUUUUAGCUGAAGGAAGCAGCACCACUCUGUCCUGUUCAUAUGAUGGAUCAGCUUACAGUCUUCACUGGUAUCGACAGAAGCCUGGAUCAAAACCAGAGUUUCUGCUGCUGAUUGUGAGGUCUACUAAAACUGUAGUCCCAGCUUCUCCACCUCAUCCACAUAUGUCCACCAGACACCAUGAUAACAAAAGUGUGGAUCUGGAGAUCUUCUCUGCUGCUGUAUCAGACUCUGCAGUGUAUUACUGUGCCCUGGAGCCCACAGUGACAGGAAAACAUGCUACACCCUACAAAAACCUUCUCAUGCAUAUGUUUCAGAUGAUAUCUUUGAUUUCCUUUAUGCUGAUAAUAUAAUUUGGCAUUUAAACAUCUCACUGGCCAUUGGUAAUUACUGACCAUUAUCAGAUUGAAUUUUCCUCAAACACAAAAAAUAUAUAAUUAAGGACUAUAGCCAUAAUCAAUACAAAAAUUGACAAUUAAAUACCAACACACACACACACACAAAAAUCCAAUUGGUUCCUUUAAAUAAAGCUUAGAAUAAUUUCAAAAGAUGUUUAAGACACAUUUAUCUGUGAUAAAUUGCUAGAAUUGAUCAAAUAGGACAUUAUCAUAUUAAUAACUGUACAGGUGUAUUUAAAAUGUUUUAAAUAUCUUGCCUCAUUAAGAUUAUACAAGAGGUUUCCAGAGAGCUUAUCACCCACAGAAUUAUUUUAGAUUCUCAGUUAAGACCACACCUAUUAUUGAAUUCCUUUGAAAGUUACUACAAUGAUUUAUAGUUACCUUUGUAGAUAAGUCAUCUGUCAUCUGAUGUACAAUAACUUUGGUUGUAACUUUAGUAACAUCCAAAAAGAAUGAAAUACUUAUCCAGUGGUCACCACACACAUUCUACAUACUAGUCUCUCAGCUCAGAAACAUUUCAAAUCAAAUCAGAUUUACAGCAGAGAGCCCCAGUCAAGCAAGGCUUUUACCAGAAGGUGGAGCUCACAUUCAACUGAUUUCAGAACAGAGCACAUGCAAACUGAGUCAGUUAGGAGGAAACUGUUAGACCUGACUGACAGAACUUUUUAUCUAAUUGAUGAUGUUGCUCCUUGUUUUCGUGAUAUUUUGCUUUUGUAAGGGUGAAUAAAUGAUAAGAAUAAUUUAUGGAUUAAUGAUUUUUAUUGUGUAAAUAAACCAACUAUUUAUAUAGUCUCAAUAAGUCCAUUAAUUGAACUGAUUGAUUUUUUCAUGAUUAAACAGCAUGCAGCCACAUUUUUUAAAAAAUCUAGGUUUGUGUGGGAGGGGCUCAAGGUUUUGUCAGCUUCAGCAGAAUAACUUAUUGAGACAACACUGACUUUCCUUCAUUGAGAAGUCUGGACACAAACUACAGAAACAUGUUGCUCAUCUCUUCUGUUUUGAUUUUUAUCCUCAGUUACUGUGAGUACCGCUAGUCAUACACAUUUUACACCAUAUUCCAGAACAUAAAAACAUGCACAUGUUUUAAUUAAUUCUAAACAUAAAAUAACAUUCCAUUCCAUUGCUUAAUUAUUUAUCAUCUUUGCAGGUGAAUCUAAUGGAAAUGUCAUCAAACCAAGCCAGCUAUCUGUAGUUUUAGCUGAAGGAAGCAGCACCACUCUGUCCUGUUCAUAUGAUGGAUCAGCUUACAGUCUUCACUGGUAUCGACAGAAGCCUGGAUCAAAACCAGAGUUUCUGCUGCUGAUUGUUGAGUCUUCCAAGUAUGUCAACAAAGCUGACCAACCUCACCCACAUAUGUCCAUCAGACUCCAUGAUAACAAAAGUGUGGAUCUGGUGAUCUCCUCUGCUGCUGUAUCAGACUCUGCAGUGUAUUACUGUGCCCUGCAGCCCACAGUGACAGGAAAACCCUCUACACUGUACAAAAACUUGUUUCUUGCAUUUUUUAUAACAAUCAAUAGAUUUUAGCAUUCCCUCAUGCAGUAUCUCAUUAUUUUUCCUCCUUCCUGUCCUUACAAGGUGGUCUUUCUCUGAGAACUACUCUAGCCUACCCUUUUAGAAAAUGUUCUGCACGGUUUACUUAUUUACUGGUCAUUUAAAGCCACUUUUACAAGACAAAACACACUGUUAUUUACAAUAAAUCAAGUUACAUGAACCAGUACACCAUAGAAUGAACCCACACAUACUAGAAAAACAUUCCUUUAUGCAUGGAAAAAAUAGCAUGAAACCUAAUUAGCAUCAAAGUACAAAAAUCAAUUAAACAAAAAUAAAACAGUUCCUUCUAUGUCUACAGACAAGACAAAUUCCUGCAGAUUAGACGACUCUAUAACGACUAUAGACGACUAUAACUUUGCUAUGUGUUUUUAUUUUUUAUUUUUAUUUUUUUUGCACAGUAAACAUACAUUAGACUAUCAAUCGGAUCUCUCUGGACAGUGACAGCCUUUAUUACAUACUUCUUUAAUUAUUCAAUCUUAUACAAGUUA